AGUGAACGCUGGCGGUAGGCCUAACACAUGCAAGUCGAACGGCAGCACAGGAGAGCUUGCUCUCUGGGUGGCGAGUGGCGGACGGGUGAGGAAUACAUCGGAAUCUACUCUGUCGUGGGGGAUAACGUAGGGAAACUUACGCUAAUACCGCAUACGACCUACGGGUGAAAGCAGGGGAUCUUCGGGCCUUGCGCGAUUGAAUGAGCCGAUGUCGGAUUAGCUAGUUGGCGGGGUAAAGGCCCACCAAGGCGACGAUCCGUAGCUGGUCUGAGAGGAUGAUCAGCCACACUGGAACUGAGACACGGUCCAGACUCCUACGGGAGGCAGCAGUGGGGAAUAUUGGACAAUGGGCGCAAGCCUGAUCCAGCCAUACCGCGUGGGUGAAGAAGGCCUUCGGGCUGUAAAGCCCUUUUGUUGGGAAAGAAAUCCAGCUGGCUAAUACCCGGUAGGGAUGACGGUACCCAAAGAAUAAGCACCGUCUAACUUCGUGCCAGCCGCCGCAGUAA
rnacentral:rRNA from 1 species